rnacentral:lncRNA from 1 species
GAUAUAAUGUUGCAGUGAGUGUUUUUGUCCAAGAAGCCCCUCCCUUUCCUUGGCCAUGUUCACGUUAGUGGAAUGAGCGGGUCAGAAGGUGGAAGAGUCCAUGGUCCUGCCAUAUUCUUCUGUGUGGGGUUCACCCUAAAGCUUUCCCACUGUGUGGGGUUGUCCCGGGUGCUCCCACCCCACACCUAACACUAAUAACAUUGCAGUCUGUCUCCAGCAAGCAGCCCUGACCUCAGGGUGUGGCCGGAUAAACACACUGCAGUCCGUCCACACAAUGGAACGUAACUCAGCUGUAGAAAGGCAUGUGGCACCAGCAGGCCAGAGUGAGGAGGAACCUUGGGAGGAACAUCCCACUGAGGGAAGCGUGGCAGACGCCCCCACAUACCAUGUGAUUCCAUUUUUAUGAAAUGUCCAGAAUGGGCCGGUCCAUGGGGACUGAACACAGAGUGGUGGGGGCUCAGGAGAAGGGAACGGGCAGGUGCUGUCUGAGGGGCCUGGGGUUUCCUCUGGGGAUGGUGAGAAUGUUCUGGACCCAGAUGGGGGCGCAAUGUUGUGAAUACAAAUGCUACUGAAUUGUUCACUUCAAGCCGAUUCAUUUUAUGUUAUGUGAAUUUUUUCAAUAAAAAAGGAAAUAUGUGGCCGG